UACGUAGGGGGCUAGCGUUGUCCGGAAUCAUUGGGCGUAAAGCGCGUGUAGGCGGUCCGGUAAGUCCGCUGUGAAAGUCGGGGGCUCAACCCUCGGAUGCCGGUGGAUACUGUCGGGCUCGAGUCCGGAAGAGGCGAGUGGAAUUCCUGGUGUAGCGGUGAAAUGCGCAGAUAUCAGGAGGAACACCAAUGGCGAAGGCAGCUCGCUGGGACGGUACUGACGCUGAGACGCGAAAGCGUGGGGAGCAAACAGG
rnacentral:rRNA from 1 species